GUUCCCGUAGUGCAUUGGAUACCAUGUUGGACUUCUAAUCCGAAGGUCGUGUGUUCGAAUCCCAUCGGGGAUU